rnacentral:rRNA from 1 species
ACUUGACCUCAAAUCANGUAGGACUACCCGCUGAACUUAARCAUAUCAAUA